UCCCAUGUGGUUCAGUUGGUAGAGCAUGAUGCUUGCAACGCCAGGGUUGUGGGUUCAAUUCCCACCAGGGAAA